AUUAUUAAUUUGGCUCUGCGGGGGUCUUAGUUGCUGGAUGUGGGAACUUUUAAUUGAGGCAUGUGGAAUCUUGGUUCCCUAGCCAGGGAUUGAAUCCAUGCUCCUUGCAGUGAACGUAUGGAUCUCAACCUCUGGACCAGGGAAUUCGCUAGGUAGUUCUAAUUGUUGUGGCUCACAGCGCAAGUAGCAGUGAAACCUGCAAGUUGCUGUGAACCCUGUGAUGUCAUGAAAUCUGUACUGACAUCAGAAUGAGAUGUGACACUGUGGAAACUAUCAACAAGGCCUGUGCUUCUAGGACAAGGAUUAAAUGAGAGAAUGUCUUGGAAGCACCUCGCGUAGUACCUGGUUUACAGUCCCUGACUAUGGAUUGAACCCAGCCCUGGCAGUGAAGGCACGGAGUCCUAGCCACUGAAGCGCCAGAGAAUUCGGAUCAUGUAUUUCUUGAAGUCAGUUUUUGUGACAUGAACUUGAUGCCCUAGGCCUCUCCCGGCACAAGUCCUCAAAUCUGAUCCUUUCUACGACAGUGUCCUGCCUGUGUGCUCCUGUAACCCCUACCCUGGCACUGUGACCACACAGACAAGACUUGGGUGCAUCUCCUGGGGGUUCUGGCAGGGCAAGGUCUGUGUCUACUAGAUACGGGUUCUGGCAAGCUGAAUCAGUUCUCUUUGAUGGUUGUUUCCCUUUCAGUGACUGUGGCCUUGGAACAUGGCUUCUGAGGACUGUUUCCCCAUUAAUUAGAGCUCGCCUGGGCCAGCCCUCUGGGCUCAAUGCUGUUCCAGGCUCCUGGGAGCACAAGGGCUUGUGCCAUCUCUCUAGAGGCCAGAUCUCUUAAAACAUGGACCAGUUUUUUCUUUAUUCCCAUUAGGAGAUUUCGCCAUUUAGAAAACUAUGCUAAAAUACACGUAACAUACAAUCUACCAUUUUGACCCUUUGUAUUAAAUAAAUGUCAGUUCAAUGGUUUUAGCACACUCA